AAGCGCGCGGCAAUCAUUGAGUUCCAGAGCGAAUCGCAGGCCGAGCGCGUCGCCGAGACUUUCAACGGCUAUUACGAUAAGGU
rnacentral:rRNA from 13 species